GUGUAAUUUUUAGAAUCAUUAUCGGAAGUUCGUUGCCAAAAAAAAUAAAAAGAAGAAAAUAAGAAUUACAUUUGAAGAAAACGUUUCGGGCUUCUUUGUACAUGCAGCGGCAACUCUGAGAAACGUCAUACGCUUGGUUGUUGAAGACAAUGCGACGAUACAAAGACGAGCCUCCGGCGGUUCGAGUUUACACAGUCUGCGAUGAAUCCAGAUAUUUAAUUGUGAGGAAUAUUCCAGCCUUGGGUUGCGGCGAUGAGUUGCUGAAACUGUUCUCAUCCUAUGGAGACGUUGAAGAGUGUAAACCGAUGGAUGCAGAAGACUGUGAGGAAUUCACUGAUGUUUACUGGAUCAAGUUUCGUUUGGUCAGCAAUUCCAGAUUUGCAAAGAGAAAAUUGGACGAGUAUGUUUUUCUAGGCAACCGAUUGAAGAUUUCGUACGCCCCUAAUUUUGAGACCCUCAAUGACACCAAAGAAAAGCUUGAAUGCAGGAGAAACGAAGUAUUAGCAAGAUUAAACCCUGGAAGAUCAAAAGGGUCUACGGCUAGGAAUUCGGGUGCUCCUUCAAGUCGUCAACCCCAACCAAUAAACUCAGAACAAAGGGUCAGUGCAGGACUAGAAGUUCCUUCUCGGGUUAAUAAUACUCCAAUCACAAGGGUUUCAUCUGACAAGGUUCUGUUACUGUUCUUAAACGUUAAUAUCUUGUGCUAAUUUUGUUUAUCUCCAACUCAAUAUUAGCUGGUAACCCUUAAAAAUUUUGCCAAGAGAGGGAAAUAACUAUUAAGAUAAUCACCAAUCUUUUAUGAUAGUGAAGUGGGCAGUGAAGUUGUGAGAGUAGUGGAAGUAUGGCUAAUUAAUGGUUUAAUUGAAAUGCUGAUUGAUGGUAGGCCGAACAUGAAGAGAACUUAGCUGUGCUUUGCCUGAGUAUUUUCCUUCCCAAUCAAUGAAUCAGACUGUCCGGUUUGUAAGAGAGAAGCUUGAUAAGAUUCAAUCCAGUGGCCAGCAGCUACAAGAUGGGCCUGCAUCCAAGAAAACACGUAUAGA